CCAGACUCCUACGGGAGGCAGCAGUGGGGAAUAUUGCACAAUGGGGGGAACCCUGAUGCAGCGACGCCGCGUGAGUGAAGAAGUAUUUCGGUACGUAAAGCUCUAUCAGCAGGGAAGAAAAAAGGACGGUACCUGAGUAAGAAGCCCCGGCUAACUACGUGCCAGCAGCCGCGGUAAUACGUAGGGGGCAAGCGUUAUCCGGAAUUACUGGGUGUAAAGGGAGCGUAGACGGCAAUGCAAGUCCGGAGUGGAAUGCGGCAGCUCAACUGCCGAACUGCUCUGGAAACUGUAUGGCUUGAGUGCAGGAGGGGUAAGCGGAAUUCCUGGUGUAGCGGUGAAAUGCAUAGAUAUCACGCAGAACUCCGAUUGCGAAGGCAGCAUACCGGCGCUCAACUGACGCUCAUGCACGAAAGCGUGGGUAUCGAACAGGAUUAGAUACCCCGGUAAAG
rnacentral:rRNA from 1 species